CACAAAGUAAGCGAUUAAAUAUCGGAAUUUGCAGUUGAUGAAUUACUCAAAAGUAAAAAUCUUUUUGUAGUUCUAUCAAUAACAUGUGUUAUUUAUUACGAUAGUGUCUACCGAUAUAGUGUAUUACACAAAGUUUCUCGUCACAGUUUGCUCAAGAAUAAGCAAGGUAUUGUCCAGGUAGUCUUUUAAACCACUGGUUAAAAACAAUGUUGUUUCACGAGCCUAAGGCUUGAAUGGUUUUAAAUAAAAUAUGAUAAAACGUUAAAAAAAAAUGUUAGGCGAUCAUCUUUAAAGAUUAAGUCAUCACUUAAUUACUAAACUAUUCCGCAAUUUUAGCAAUUUGACCUUAAUUUUGGCGAACUCUUAUGAAAAUACAUUUUAUCUUGCUAUUCUAAUUGAAUAUCUCGUAGGAAAUGGAUUAACAUCGUUUAGAUAAUUAAAUGUAGAUCUACUACGUUCAGACGGAAGAACCUGAAGGCUUUAACAUGGUACAAUGAACACAAAAAUGAGUAUCAGUUCCGGAGUUAGUGAAGUGCUAUUACCGGUGUAUAUCGUACAUAUCAUUUCACAAAACAGUAUACAUGGCUAAAAAAAACUGUACAGAAGCAAGCUUAUGUGCUUUUUUUAAUUUGCAAAGAUAUUGAAAUAGACAUUUAAAUUUACUUGAAGAUAUAAUAAAGAUACAUGUUGAAUUUUACCUAAUGUUAGACAAGUUUGUUCAGUUGGAAAUUUAGAUUUAAAUCUUACAUCAUAUACAAGAUGAAAAAGAUUGUCUGCAGAUUAACUUGAAAUGUAUUUAAAAAUAUAUCUAUAGAAUUACAUUAACCUGAAUAGUUUCUAGUGAAAUCUAACCACGAAUUGAAAAAAAUAACAAAUGCUAUUACUUUACUCUAGGACUGGCAAAACCAGAAAAUACCGUAUAUAAAGUUGUGAUGUGGCGGUUGAUCUCCCUCUUACAAUUUUAUUUUCAAUUUGAUAUAUAUAAAUAUAUAUUGUAAUAAUUUUUGUUGGCGGAAAGAUUGCAUCGAAAAUUAAAAUUCGCUGACACAGCAAUUCAUAUUAAACCACAUACAUGUCGUUAAUAACAUGUCAAGGGAUAUCCUGAUUUAAUUUGGGUUUUAUGUUGUAAAAAAGAUGCAUUUUUAACGUUUUAUAAGUAUACAAGCCAGUAGUUAAUAAAAUAUUUUGAGUUUACUGUCUGAAAACUAUUUUCAAAUCGGUAAUCAUCAUCU